CGAGAGAGAGCUUGCUUUCUCGAGCGAGUGGCGAACGGGUGAGUAACGCGUGAGGAACCUGCCUCAAAGAGGGGGACAACAGUUGGAAACGACUGCUAAUACUGCAUAAGCCCACGGGUCGGCAUCGACCAGAGGGAAAAGGAGCAAUCCGCUUUGAGAUGGCCUCGCGUCCGAUUAGCUAGUUGGUGAGGUAACGGCCCACCAAGGCAACGAUCGGUAGCCGGACUGAGAGGUUGAACGGCCACAUUGGGACUGAGACACGGCCCAGACUCCUACGGGAGGCAGCAGUGGGGAAUAUUGCACAAUGGGGGAAACCCUGAUGCAGCGACGCCGCGUGGAGGAAGAAGGUCUUCGGAUUGUAAACUCCUGUUGUUGGGGAAGAUAAUGACGGUACCCAACAAGGAAGUGACGGCUAACUACGUGCCAGCAGCCGCGGUAAAACGUAGGUCACAAGCGUUGUCCGGAAUUACUGGGUGUAAAGGGAGCGCAGGCGGGAAGACAAGUUGGAAGUGAAAUCUAUGGGCUCAACCCAUAAACUGCUUUCAAAACUGUUUUUCUUGAGUAGUGCAGAGGUAGGCGGAAUUCCCGGUGUAGCGGUGGAAUGCGUAGAUAUCGGGAGGAACACCAGUGGCGAAGGCGGCCUACUGGGCACCAACUGACGCUGAGGCUCGAAAGUGUGGGUAGCAAACAGGAUUAGAUACCCUGGUAGUCCACACCGUAAACGAUGAUUACUAGGUGUUGGAGGAUUGACCCCUUCAGUGCC
rnacentral:rRNA from 1 species